GAUGAAGAACGCAGCGAAAUGCGAUAAGUAGUGUGAAUUGCAGAAUUCAGUGAAUCAUCGAAUCUUUGAACGCACAUUGCGCCCCUUGGUAUCCCGAGGGGCAUGCCUGUUCGAGCGUCAUUUCACCACUCAAGCCUGGCUUGGUGUUGGGCGACGUCCCCUUUGGGGACGCGCCUCGAAACGCUCGGCGGCGUGGCACCGGCUUCAAGCGUAGCAGAAUCUUUCGCUUUGGAAGUCGGGGCCCCGUCUGCCGGAAGACCUACUCGCAAGGUUGACCUCGGAUCAGGCAGGGAUACCCGCUGAACUUAAGCAUAUCAAUAAGCGGAGGA
rnacentral:misc_RNA from 1 species